rnacentral:rRNA from 1 species
CGAAAGCCUGACGGAGCAAGACCGCGUGGGGGAAGAAGGCUCUUGGGUUGUAAACCCCUUUUCUCUGGGAAGAAAGUUGUGAAAGCAACCUGACGGUACCAGAGGAAUCAGCAUCGGCUAACUCCGUGCCAGCAGCCGCGGUAAGACGGAGGAUGCAAGCGUUAUCCGGAAUGAUUGGACGUAAAGCGUCCGCAGGUGGCAGUUCAAGUCUGCUGUCAAAGACCGGGGCUUAACUUCGGAAAGGCAGUGGAAACUGAACAGCUAGAGUAUGGUAGGGGCAGAGGGAAUUCCUGGUGUAGCGGUGAAAUGCGUAGAGAUCAGGAAGAACAUCGGUGGCGAAGGCGCUCUGCUGGGCCGUAACUGACACUCAUGGACGAAAGCUAGGGGAGCG